CCAUUACCGUUAGUAUCUGGUCUAAGCAGCGUUAGAAUCAACAUUCCUCCUGAUCUACGACCACCUGAAGCAAGACAAAAUAUACUUUUUGCAGUUCAAGAACUGGGAAAGCGUUAUCCCCAAGGGCUUCCGAAGCUACAUCCAAUUACGGUGAAAAAUCUUCUUACAUAAUGCCACUCUCUAGUUUUUGUUUUAGAGAGGCUGAAAUUUCAAAAAAAAAUAAAAAAAAUAAUUCAGGAACUAGUUCUACAUGUACAGAUCCCUUUAUGAUUGAUGCUGCUCCUCCUUUUUGCAUUUCUGCCUGUAAUAUUUAGUCGGUCCAGUUUCUCAGAGUAAUCUUUUCCAGAAAUAUAUCAGCAAGAAUCCUAAAGCAAUCUUUUGAAAUCCUGCAGUCAUUUUGAUUCUGAUAUAAUCUGAUUAUAAUUACUAGGACAUGGGUAUUGAAGAACCUGAAUUAGUUGACUUGGUUCAUAAACUUGAGGAUCUCGAGCAGAAACUAUGUUCUCAUCCACUUCAUAAGGUAUGCUUUGUUUUCCCCUUUAGACAAAUGUCCAAUCCCUGUUCUAUUUAACCGAUUUAUUUUGUGCUAUUUUGGUGUCACAGUCUGAUCAAAAUGAGCAGCAACUAUCAUGGUACCAAAGAAAAGCUGAGCUAAAUCAUGAAAUUCAACAACUGAAGUCAAAGAUGCGUGAUUCACAGGUUAGCUGAAUUUUUGCAUGGUAGGUCCCUUUUAGUCUGUCAAAUGUGCUCUUACACUCUCCUCUGUUCAGCUACAAAAAUUUAGGGAUGAACUUAAGAACCGGUCUCGCGUUCUCAAGAUGCUUGGUCACAUUGACGGGGAUGGUGUUCUUCAGUUAAAGGGACGUGCUGCCUGUUUAAUAGACACAGGGGAUGAGCUGCUUAUCACUGAACUUAUGUUUAAUGGUACCUGUUGAUAUGAUUUUCCGUGCUCACUUUUUUUUUGUUUACUUUAUAUUCAAUUGCAUUAAUGCAUUUAUGUGACUAGGUACAUUUAAUGAUCUUGAUCAUCAUCAAGUUGCUUCAGUUGUUAGCUGCUUUGUACCAUGUGAGAAGUCAAAUGAGCAAAUACGCCUGAGAAAUGAGCUGUCUAAGCCAAUGAUGCAACUGCAGGAGGCUGCAAGAAAAAUAGCUGAGGUGCAUACUUGUUUUAUCAUCACUAUUUUGCCGUUUCUCUGUAUUUGAUUGGGAUCUCUGAUUUCUCAUUCUUGAGUUAGGUACAACGAGAAUGCAAAUUGGACGUAAAUGUGGAGGAGUACGUUGAAUCAACUUGUAAACCCUACCUGAUGGACGUCAUAUACUGCUGGUCAAAGGUUGGUCAGCAGUAGCAAUUCCUGAAUCCUGAUAUUCAAGAUCUUUUUUUCUGUCCCUUUCGGACAUUUUCCCAGCAUCGAUACAUCUUAUUUUGAAUUAUGGGUUCUUAUAAUCUAUAAACGCCCAUCAGAUGCACUUAUAAAUAUAUAUUGGUACUGCUGCUGUUUAGUAUGUCAAUUCCGAAUUUAUUUAUUUUCUCACAGGGCGCCACCUUUGGAGAAGUGAUAGAAAUGACUGACAUUUUUGAAGGAAGCAUCAUAAGGCUUGUGAGGAGACUGGAUGAAUUUCUGAAUCAGGUAGACUAUCUGUAUUUAUUUUUAAACCUAUUCCAGCUGGUUUUUCCCACCACUAGUACCUAAUCACUAGGGCAACCAGAAUGUGAUGUCUGCCUUUGAUUAUCCCCUUUGCUCAAUGUUGCGAAUCAAAAAGGGACAAUGCUUCUAGAUAAAUGUCCGUUAAAGUGUCAAGGAACAUUAUCUCUCAGUGUGACAUAACUAAAUAUGGCGAACUAGAUGAAGUCUAGUUCUAGUGUCAACAACAAUUCAUGGCCCAACUUCACUUGUUUUACUGCCUGAUUUCGUAACUUGCUUGGCAGUGUAAAUAAGUGUAACUUGUUCAAUAAUCUCUAGUUCAUUUAAUCUCUAGAAAGCACAUUGUGAUUGGCAUCCCCUUUGUUCUAUGCCUGUUCCCGCAUGCCAACCGCUUAUUUUUCCUGUCUCCCAAGUGCAUACAUAGUCCAUAAAAUUAAAUCCAUCUGGCUUCCUUUUCUGACCAAGCUAAUUCUGUGGAUCUGUUGCCAGCUAAAAGCUGCCGCUGAAGCUGUUGGGGAGGUCAACCUUGAGAACAAGUUUGGAUCGGCGAGCGAGAGCUUACGCCGGGGUAUCAUGUUUGCCAACUCGUUGUAUCUCUGACGAAUGGAGCUCCUCCAGCAGUUGUACUACCAUAUAUGUUAGCAAACCAAACGUAGUUCUCAUUUUUUGCCUUAUGGCAUGGCAUCGAAAUGUAACCCUUAUCUAUCAGAAUGUAGGGUGUAGCCUUGUACCCUGUUAACCCCCUAGGCAUCAACUGUUCCACCAGAAGACUGGAAGCCAUCUGUGCUAUGCACCAGCUUAUCUAUGUCCAAUACAUGUAUACAUCAGGUGGUGCUAGCAUUUUUGUAAUCGGCCCAAAAUGGCACGAAAGUUCUAUUACGCCUGCCUCAUUUUAGAGAUCAUUCAGGUUCAUAUAAGAUGAUGUGAUUCGGAGGGCUUGGAUAGUUGGAUGUGCUGUUAUGAUGUUAUCAGGCAGUUCUCUUUACUUUGCCACGGCAUCUUUUGACGGGAUCUAGUUAGGCAUGAUAUAGCAAGCAGCUAAAUUUAUUUUGCUUUCAAUACAAAGAUACCUGAUUCUAGACGGUUUAUCUUGUUACGAGGAACGGUUGUGUGUAAUCUUACACGGAGGCGUUGUGUGUGAUCUUACAUGGUUACUUCCUAGUUCCUACUAGGUUGUAUCUAAAGUCUUUUCUUGCAAUGGAAAAAUACGCAAAUCUUCAAUGUAAGAGCAAUUUUUUGUGUUAUCACAGCAGCUUAUAUGUUACUCCCUCCGUUUCAUAAUUUUUGUUGAAAUAUUACAUGUAUCUAGAUAUUUUUUAGGAAUAGAUACAUCCAUUUUUCGACAACUUUUAGACAAGAACGAUGGAACGGAGGGAAUACAAUCUAUAUUGCUAUAUCACCAAUUGCAUUUAGCUCUAGUACGCUCUUUAUUUUAAUUUUUACAAAAGAAAUACAAUAUGUGAAAUUUCCCAAAAAUAAUGGAAAACGAAACACAAUCUGAAUUUUCGUGGAUUCAGUGUAUUUCCACAUUGAUUUAUUUAAUUCUUCAAUUUGAGGUGCACUUUUAGAAACAAAAAACAAAGAGGUACAUAAUUUUUUUUUCUAUGGAAAUUUGCAGAUUCAUAGUGCGUCUUCGCAUGUGUGCACAGUUUCUGGUUCCUUUUUUUCAUUUACAGUGCACCUUUUGCAAACUUUCAGAAUAAAGAGCUAAACAUCUACCCCCUUGCCUGGCCAUGGAUUUUAUCACCCAAUUUUCACCCGUUUGCAAGUUUUGUGCUAUGAGUAGAGAACUUUAAAGCAGUCAACAGAAUAUACUAAAACCACCAGUGGUGUAACAAAUUUGUAAUUCAUCUUGCAAAACAUCAUAUACAUUCUGCAAUAGUGUUCGGAGCCUGAAAUAAAUUCAAAUAAGAACAUCUGAUGCUACAAAUCACACGGGAACAGAAACACGCUUCCCUUCUCUUUGAUACAGAUUAUUCUUUUCUAAAAUGUUACAGAGCUGAUGGACAAUCAUCGCUUUUCUUCACAGCAUCUUUACUACUCCCUCCGUCCAACAAAAGAUGUCUCAAGUUUGUGACUUAGUGUAUAGAUGCAUUCAAAUUUGAUGAAAGUUGAGACAUCCUUUGUUGGACGGAGGGAGUAGUACAUUCUUAUCUUCAACUUUACAAAGAAUGCCAUAUAAAUAAUCAGGAGCAAAACUGAUGACCCAUGGAUGCCAACAAAGUUGAGAAGUUACAUGUGUAGCUAGAUGAAUCGAGGAUUGUGUCCAGUUUCGCCACUUCUUGGCUUCUUGCGAUGCUGUCCAUGUACGGUUAACUAAGAAUUUUGGUGUGCCUAGUCAGCUGGUUCUAUUUACCAGCUGAUAGCAUCUUCUGAAGCUGGAUCACCUGCUGCUGCUGCUCAAUUGGCAGCGAACUCAGCUGCUCAGGUGUCAGUUGCAAGACUUGCUGCAGAAGAACUGAUUCGUCGUCGGGCGUGAGCUGUAGCAGAGUGAGAAUUAGAAUUGUGAUCACACGGAAAUUUUAGGUCCAGAAACCUUGUGUGCCAGUACAUUCAAUUCCACCAGAUGACGCUAAGUGUUUAGAUAGUCAAAAAAUUUGGAUGCUUACCCAGCAUCCAAGAAACAGAAAACCUGUAAACUGAAUUAAACAUCAAGGGGAUUACCUGAGGCGCUUCGUUCUCUGGUUGCUGAAAGUUAACAGCACCAGAACUGCAGCUCCCUGAUGGCCCACAAGGGACCACUACCUGUGAUGGAGCGGGAUAAACAGCAGCAUUAUUGUUUACAUUUCCAGAAGCUGAUGUUCCAUCCUCCAAUUUCCGUAAUUUUGAAGGAUGAGCUAACUCUGCCUGAUAACUAGUUCGAUCAGGCAAUCUAAUUUCCUUCAUGGGUAUCUCAGGCGCAGCAGCAACCUGCAACGUGACACUAAGUUAGCCAGUGUGGAAGUGUAAAAAAAAAGUUGUUCUGCAUGAACAGUAAAGUUAAAAGCGCAUCUUGUCUAUACACUUCAGUUAAUCUAUGGGCAUAAGAAAAUAUAGAUGCAUGGUUAAUAACUGUACAGUUUGGUGGUUCAAGUACAUAGUCUACGGGAGUUCCAUAUAUUAGAAGGCCUGAUUAAGAUAGUGCCAAAAAAUAGAAGACCUGAUUAAGACGAUUCAUCAGUCAUCACAAACUUUGGCUUGCUACUUAUGAAUGAAAAUAAGCUCCUUAUAUACGAAGAAAUACCUGGGAGAGAUGAGGAUUGGUCAAAGGUAGUUGCUGUACAUUAGUUGGCAUAACUUGUGGUCUAGGGUGCUGUGGCAAAAAUGGAGGCUGGACUUGCGAUAUCAAGCCUCCUGAGGUUGCAAGGGGUUGAGUAGGAACACUGGAAGAGGUGCUAAAGGGUUGAGACGAAAGCUGAUACUGGUGUCCAUGCGGAAAUAUUUUGAUUGGAGGCUGAGACGAAUGCUGAUACUGAGGAAAAUUAUGCAGUGGUGCAGUUGGUUCCUGUUUUGGAACAACUGGUAUCACAGCAUCUGGUUGCGGAAAUGAUUCAUUGAGGUGAGCAGAAGAUUGUGUCAAUGAGCUAGAGAGUUGUUGGUUCUUCGCCAUCUGCAUCUGCUAUUUCAGAAUACCUAGAUUAGUAUAUUGCAGAAUCCAAGAAGACAUCAGGUGCAUCAAGCUCAAAAGAAACAAGAAUAUACCAUCUGAGGUGUCACCAUCCCGAGCAUUAUUUGUGCCUGCAUUGCAACAAGGAAAAAGUUAUGAGGUUUUAAUCUUCCAUUCUAUGCUAGAAUCACAAUUGAGCAAUGAACAAGAGAAUUUCAAAACAAGCUCUUUCAUCGCAUCGUUGUAGAUUAGCAAAAAUGAAAUGGUAGUUGGUUAAACUUAUAUUGAAAAGGGUGAAUGAAAUGUCUAACAACAAACAGCACAAUAAAAAAUAAACAUUUGUCAACCCUGAACUCUAAAGCCAUUGAAAUGAAACUUUGAACUAUUGAAGCCGCCCACUUUUCCCCUCGAGCGGUUUCAUGAGUAAUUUUGUCUGACAUGGAUGCCUACUGUCAUGUCACUCCAUGCCAUCAUUUUUUUAACCUGUUUCUACAAAUUCUCUUCCAUUCUCUAGUAAUCUUUUGCGCAUGUUUUUAUUCAGAUAAUGAGGAUGUUUUAGAUAGUGUGUUGUGUUGUGUUUCUCUGUCAUGGCAUUGAAAUGCCAGUGACAUGGAGGACACAUCGCAUCCACGACACCCAAAACCACUUAUGAAACCCCAGAGGGUCAAAAGUGAACUAUUUCAAUAGUUUGAGGUUGCAAUUCAAACGUUUUUACAGUCUAGGGUUGAAAAGUGGACCUUGUCCCUAAAAUAUAGGCAACUUUGUUUAAAAGAACUCAUAUGAAUUCGACAACCUACAGAAUACUCUAGUAUAGAACCAAGUACACAAAUAACAAGAACAAAGAAUAAGUAAUUGAUUGAUUGCAUGAUCACUAUCAGCAAAAGCUAACCUGAAAUAGGGCCUUUGGAAGCUGUGGAAUUCCUUGCAGGAGUGCUUUGGCACGGUCCUUAUUUUGAGUAGUUAGGGUCUGUCACAAAGGAGGCAUCAACAAACUAAAAUUAGCCAUGGGUAAUUUAUUAUCUUCAGGGCAUUGAUAUUGAGACUUCAAGUUAACCUUCAACUCAGACAUGAAUUCAUACAACUGAUGUCUUGACAUCCUGGCCAGGUAGUGGGUAAGAGGGUCGUUUCCAAGUCCAUAUUGGACAGGUAAACCAUUUUGCACAUUUGCAGUUUGAGCUGCACCAAGAACACCAGCCAUCACAGAUGCAGCAUGUAUUGCUGGUGGAAGACCAACAGGCUGAUGAAGGCUGGUGUCUCCUACAACGGGAGUCGCAGUUGGCUGUUUCGGAGCAUCUACAGGAGGAGUCCAUCAAGACAUCAAUGUUAGCAUGCAAUGGCAUAAAAUCACAUUUGAAGUUUAAUGUAUACACAUAAACUACAUGAUCAAGAAAUUGCAACCAACCAACACAAGAUGCCAUUCCUGGUCCUCCACGACCCUGCAAUGCAUAAACAUAUGAAGAAUAAGUCAAAAGGCUUUUAUUGAGAAAUUUGAUUGGUUGAGAUUCCGUAAUGUGCAAGCAUCAAAUAAGAAUGAUCGCACUAACUCCAUUUCCAUGCUGAAGCUACUUAAUUCUAAUAAGUAAAGUUAGAACAUCUAGUGUCCUUCAUGUAGUUACAUAAUGCAAGAGUAUUUCACUAUGAUCUCUGGAGAAUUUAGAUAAAAAUUAGAAUCCCUGUGUAAAUAACUGUAUGAACCAAUCAACUGCAUCCAGUUGCAAAACUUUGAUACAUGUAUUCUUUUCUUGUGGAUGCACUCGACACCUUGGCAACAAAAACUGGCACGUACAUAUCAGCAUCAGUGACUGCUGCAGGUAGCAGAAAAUGGUGUAGCAAUUAUUUUAAGAGAAGAGGGAAUCUGAUGGUAACCCAAAACAGAACUGUAAGCACUUACACACACACACAGACACAUAAUAGUGCAAUUGGAUCAUUUCAGAAAUCAAUUCACUAAUAAUUCCAGCCCGUUUGCUGGCGCUCAUCACAAACUCAUCACAAAAGACAUAACUACAAAUGCAUUGGCCAAGCAUAAUUCUUCUACAAGACAAUCCUUCUCGGCUAUUUGCAGAGAACCUCACAUGUUCAGUACAAUUCUGGUGAAUAUCUCUCAAUCCAUGAUAUAUGCUUUUGUUAAGACAUCAGCUUUGGAACUUCACUAUUGUAAAACAAGUAAAACUGAGACAGCAGAGAUACUUUUGGAACCGCGAUACCAAAAAUGAUAAGCCAUACCAGAAAGAUAAUUUCACAAGGUAAUUUGGCAUAAAGAGCAUGUGUGCAUAUGUACAGCUUCCUAGCUGUACAUACAAACACAUGCCGUGCAAGAAAGUGAAACAGGAUACACGGGAUGGUUGGAGAAAAUACUACUAUUAUAAUUCAUGGGAACCAAAACCAUACAAGCUUUCAUCUUAACAUAGGACUUGCAAGGUGAGAAAUAAGGUUCUUCUACAGUAAUGAACUGAGGAUCUUCCACCUUUUCUCUAUUUCUGUCAGUGUUCCUCCCAUUUUCAGCAAAAUCAACACGUAACUGACGGCCAUUAACUUCAUAACCCUGAAGGUUCCGACGUGCACUUAGAGCAGUCUCCUCAUCCUUGUACUCGCAAAACCCAUAACCCUUCGGCUUCCCAGUUUCUUUGUCAACAACCAGCCUGCAACCAAUUUUGAGAAGUCAGUAUUCAGCAAAGUCAUAGCCCAACAGCGCACAUACAUGUAUCUUUGGGUUUUCCGUGGAAAAUAACUCAUAACUAGUUUUAUUCCAAAUGUCGGUAACAGUCCAAGAAACAUUUCUAUCUAAAUCCAAAAUCAUGUAUUAGCACAAUCUUUGAUAGCUUAACAAGCUAUAGCGCCACACACAAAACUUGUAGGGUUUGCACGAUUUCAACUAAACCUGAAGGAGACCACGGGGCCGACUUCCUCGCAUAUCUGCACGAGCUGCUCCUCCGUCGCAUCGUAAGGUAUGUUCCCAACUGCAACCAAAUUCAAGCAGGCAACACCCGCGUCAAUCAAACUCAACGAACCUACUAAGCCAACACAAAUUCAAGCAGGCAACACCCGAGUCGCACGAUUCGGAACUUCAAAGUAACCCACGGAAAGCAGACACCUUUCUCUGGGGAACCGGAAGGCGCGACGAAUGCGAAGCAUGAAAAAAAGAGGCAAACCCUAGAACAGUAAUGCCAAAACUAGAAAAUAAAAUUCAGCCCCAAAUCCAGCGGCGGAGCCAGCUAAAACGCGCUUCCUUCCGUCCGUCG
rnacentral:lncRNA from 1 species